AACGAACGCUGGCGGCAUGCCUAACACAUGCAAGUCGAACGAGACCUUCGGGUCUAGUGGCGCACGGGUGCGUAACGCGUGGGAACCUGCCCUUAGGUUCGGAAUAACUCCCCGAAAGGGGUGCUAAUACCGGAUAAUGUCUUCGGACCAAAGAUUUAUCGCCUUUGGAUGGGCCCGCGUUGGAUUAGCUAGUUGGUAGGGUAAAAGCCUACCAAGGCGACGAUCCAUAGCUGGUCUGAGAGGAUGAUCAGCCACACUGGGACUGAGACACGGCCCAGACUCCUACGGGAGGCAGCAGUGGGGAAUAUUGGACGAUGGGCGAAAGCCUGAUCCAGCAAUGCCGCGUGAGUGAUGAAGGCCUUAGGGUCGUAAAGCUCUUUUACCCGGGAUGAUAAUGACAGUACCGGGAGAAUAAGCUCCGGCUAACUCCGUG
rnacentral:rRNA from 1 species